rnacentral:rRNA from 1 species
CAGAGGGGGACGAACAGUUGGAAACGACUGCUAAUACCGCAUACGAUCUAAUCUCGGCAUCGAGGAUAGAUGAAAGGUGGCCUCUACAUGUAAGCUAUCACUGAAGGAGGGGAUUGCGUCUGAUUAGCUAGUUGGAGGGGUAACGGCCCACCAAGGCGAUGAUCAGUAGCCGGUCUGAGAGGAUGAACGGCCACAUUGGGACUGAGACACGGCCCAGACUCCUACGGGAGGCAGCAUG